GGGCCAUUAGCUCAGCGGUUAGAGCAGAGGACUCAUAAUCCUUUGGUCCCCGGUUCAAAUCCAGGAUGGCCCA
rnacentral:tRNA from 2 species